UACAGAGGUCUCAAGCGUUGUUCGGAUUCAUUGGGCGUAAAGGGCGCGUAGGCGGGCACGCAAGUCAGGGGUGAAAUCCUCCGGCUCAACCGGAGAACGGCUUUUGAUACUGCGUGCCUCGAGGGGGGUAGGGGCAUGUGGAACUUCCGGUGGAGCGGUGAAAUGCGUAGAUAUCGGAAGGAACGCCGGUGGCGAAAGCGACGUGCUGGACCCUUUCUGACGCUGAGGCGCGAAAGCCAGGGGAGCAAACGGG
rnacentral:rRNA from 1 species